rnacentral:piRNA from 1 species
UAUUGCUAUCCAAUUUAGUCCACACCUUGC